rnacentral:lncRNA from 1 species
GUGGGGUGGGGCUGGGAAGAGAGGACAGGACUGAAGUGCUUACUGUGGAGGCUGGAUUGGGAGUGGUAGUGUGCACAGGCCUUGGGGCUCUGAGGAAAGAUGACUCUUAGGAUAAGGGUCUCUGCUGCCCCUCCAGAGUGAUGCAAGGGUGAGGUUGGGAAGCAGGGACUCUUAUACUUGGGACAUUUCUGAUUACUCAGCUGAAUUAUCUGAACUACAGGGAAGAAGAACUGGAAGCUCCAUAAUGCUGAGUCACCUGGGUUUGCAAGGAGUGAAAAGGCAGGUGAAUUACACUGGGUAGUACAGUGGUUGGAGGUGUCACUUCACAAUACCAAGGUGCAAGUGAAGAAUGAAGCCCAGGCCCAAAGAGCUGUUUCAUGGGAAAAGAAAGGCAAUCAUGAAAGAGGACUUCCAGAAUUCCUUCAGAAAGUGGCAAGAGUGAUGGGAUACAUGUGUUUGAAGUAAGGGAGAGUACCUUGAGGGAGAUUAAUGGUGAUGCAUCUUUUACUGUAAUAA